AGUUUCUUUUCAUUAACUAAUAAAAGCAACACAUAGACAGAAGGACCUCCCAUACCAGUUGUUUUUUUAUUUUCUACUUAUGUAUAGUGGUCUGUUUGCAUGGAUGCCUGCAGACCAGAAAAGGGUACCAGAUCACAUUACAGAUGGUUGUGAGCCCCCAUGUGGUUGCUGAGAAUUGAAAGGGACCGACCUCUGGAAGAGCAGCCAGUGCUCUUAACCUCUGAGCCAUCUCUUCAGUCCCUAAAACCUAAAUUAUAACGUUCUGGUCUUGUGGAUAUUGUGACGUGGUGGAUGCUGACAGGAACCUGCAUAUUAAAAAUUGCCGACUACAGCAUGGGUCCUUAAAUGACUGGGAAACUAACUCUUCCAUCCACCUACAUACACGUAUGUCCAGUUGCCUCUAUGACACACUAUUAGUUCACACGAAAUACUCAUGUAUCACAUGUCUGCACAACAGUGCCACUCGGUGACUGAAAUGUGUGUGGCUCAUUCUCCCUAGCCCUGUGGUAAUUGGGUUUUUAUUUAUUUUCUUCCUCCCUACCUCCUUCUUUCCCUCCUUUCUUUCUUAAUUUUAUCACCUAUAUGUGUUCUUGGAAGUUGUGUUAUUUGAUUUGUUUUGACAUUAUAAAAAGAGCGUCGCACUUUUUGUAAAAUUUUCACUUUCCUUGAGUUACUGAUUGCUGCUAUCAUUUGUAUAUCUUGUCAUAUUCGACUGCGCGUCAUUGAUGACUUCUGCGUGAUAUUUGGCUCUGUAAUUAUGACCUGACCUUUAAAAUCUGUUGCUGUUAAUGGACAUUUGAGUUGUCCCUGGCUUUACUAUGACAAGUAGUGUUGUCGUGGGCAUCAUUAUGCAUUGAAAUACAAAUGGAGUCAUUUCUCCAGUGAUAAAGGCCAAUUCAUUGUCUUUUCCUUUGACAAACCUGUAAGUAAAGAUGGAGCCAUCCUACAUUUCAAAAGGACGGAAGCGAAAUUUCGUGAGUGAAAUUUCCAGAGGAUUGCUCCAGUUUAGUCCUUCCGUACUGACCUAUUUAGAGCCGGAACCUUUCUGUCUUUGCUCAUCUGCUUGGUUUUGUUUUCCCCUUGUACUUGCUCUUAGCAGCUCUAAGAAGGCAUGAUGUAGAAUAGGUUGGGUACUAUAUGUAUAAUAAGAAGGCAUGAUGUAGAAUAGGUUGGGUAUUAUAUGUAUAAUAAGAAGGCAUGAUGUAGAAUAGGUUGGGUAUUAUAUGUAUAAUGGUGUGUGGCAUUGCUGGAUGAGGCCGCCUGACCUCGAUCCUCAGACAGCUCAGUUAAGAGUGGUUCUCUUUCUCAUCCUCACACGCCCUGUGUGUACGCAACUUCACUGAGAUCUAGAAUGUGCCGUCUUCUAGAGGAGACCACCAUCACUUCCCGGGAAGCCUGUUCCUUUCGUGGAGCAUGAAAGGGUGCCGGUAGUAAGACCAGUGACCUUCACCCUGGGAACAGCUGUCGUUCCUGCUAGUCUGACAAAGGUGAGGGCGUGGCUGAGAGCUCACCGCCUUAGCAGGAGAGAAGCCUCUGUUUUGUCAGGGCGUGUGCCAAGCCCGCGUGAGAGCACCUCUUCCUCCUUGGGUCAUGGAAAGACCUUCAAGCUCUUUGUCACUCUCAGGCAGAGAAGCAGCUAGUUCAGAGGUCUCAGAAAUACAGUCUGGACAUGGAUUCAUUUGUUUAUUUCUGUCAUCAGGACUUAAAACUCUAAAAUACAAAAGCACCCUGGUCCUCUGGGUGGCAGGAAGGUCAGGGUGACGAUGGGUUGGAAUCAGAAGUGUGGGUUUUGCAUUGAUUGUGUUUCUGUUGGAACACACGUUUCUUCAGGGCAGACGUGUUCACGUUCCACUCUGGAUGGGAUUUGGUGUUGUCUGCGCUCACAGGUAUGCCGUG